GACGAACGCUGGCGGCGUGCUUAACACAUGCAAGUCGAACGGAAAGGCCCCUUUGGGGGUACUCGAGUGGCGAACGGGUGAGUAACACGUGAGUAACCUGCCCUUGACUUCGGGAUAACUUCAGGAAACUGGGGCUAAUACCGGAAAGGCAUCCUUGCUGCAUGGUGGGGGUUGGAAAGCUUCGGCGGUUUUGGGUGGACUCGCGGGCUAUCAGCUUGUUGGUGGGGUAGUGGGUUACCAAUGCUUUGAGGGGUAGCCGGACUGCGAGGGCGACCGGCCACAUUGGGACUGAGGUACGGCCCAGGCGCCGAAGGGAGGCCACAGGGGGGAAGAUUGCACCAGGGGCGGAAGGCGGGUGCAGCAACCCCGCGGGCGGGAAGGCGGCCUUGUGGGUGAAAAACGGCUUCAGCAGGGGCGAAGGCUGUGGUGACGGUACCUGCAGAAGAAGCACCGGCUAACUACGUG
rnacentral:rRNA from 1 species